rnacentral:rRNA from 1 species
GAUGAACGCUGGCGGCGUGCCUAAUACAUGCAAGUCGAGCGAACGGACGAGAAGCUUGCUUUUCUGAUGUUAGCGGCGGACGGGUGAGUAACACGUGGAUAACCUACCUAUAAGACUGGGAUAACUUCGGGAAACCGGAGCUAAUACCGGAUAAUAUUUUGAACCGCAUGGUUCAAAAGUGAAAGACGGUCUUGCUGUCACUUAUAGAUGGAUCCGCGCUGCAUUAGCUAGUUGGUAAGGUAACGGCUUACCAAGGCAACGAUGCAUAGCCGACCUGAGAGGGUGAUCGGCCACACUGGAACUGAGACACGGUCCAGACCCCUACGGGAGGCAGCAGUAGGGAAUCUUCCGCAAUGGGCGAAAGCCUGACGGAGCAACGCCGCGUGAGUGAUGAAGGUCUUCGGAUCGUAAAACUCUGUUAUUAGGGAAGAACAUAUGUGUAAGUAACUGUGCACAUCUUGACGGUACCUAAUCAGAAAGCCACGGCUAACUACGUGCCAGCAGCCGCGGUAAUACGUAGGUGGCAAGCGUUAUCCGGAAUUAUUGGGCGUAAAGCGCGCGUAGGCGGUUUUUUAAGUCUGAUGUGAAAGCCCACGGCUCAACCGUGGAGGGUCAUUGGAAACUGGAAAACUUGAGUGCAGAAGAGGAAAGUGGAAUUCCAUGUGUAGCGGUGAAAUGCGCAGAGAUGUGGAGGAACACCAGUGGCGAAGGCGACUUUCUGGUCUGUAACUGACGCUGAUGUGCGAAAGCGUGGGGAUCAAACAGGAUUAGAUACCCUGGUAGUCCACGCCGUAAACGAUGAGUGCUAAGUGUUAGGGAGUUUCCGCCCCUUAGUGCUGCAGCUAACGCAUUAAGCACUCCGCCUGGGGAGUACGACCGCAAGGUUGAAACUCAAAGGAAUUGACGGGGGCCCGCACAAGCGGUGGAGCAUGUGGUUUAAUUCGAAGCAACGCGAAGAACCUUACCAAAUCUUGACAUCCUUUGACAACUCUAGAGAUAGAGCCUUCCCCUUCGGGGGACAAAGUGACAGGUGGUGCAUGGUUGUCGUCAGCUCGUGUCGUGAGAUGUUGGGUUAAGUCCCGCAACGAGCGCAACCCUUAAGCUUAGUUGCCAUCAUUAAGUUGGGCACUCUAAGUUGACUGCCGGUGACAAACCGGAGGAAGGUGGGGAUGACGUCAAAUCAUCAUGCCCCUUAUGAUUUGGGCUACACACGUGCUACAAUGGACAAUACAAAGGGCAGCGAAACCGCGAGGUCAAGCAAAUCCCAUAAAGUUGUUCUCAGUUCGGAUUGUAGUCUGCAACUCGACUACAUGAAGCUGGAAUCGCUAGUAAUCGUAGAUCAGCAUGCUACGGUGAAUACGUUCCCGGGUCU